AUCCCAGUCAAUAGGCCACUCUGAUCCUGCUCCUAGAUGACCGCAACUGCCACCUCACUGGUCUCCCAACCAUUUGUCACAGAGCACCCAAAGUUACUCAGCUAGACCAAAUAUCUGAACAUGCCUCUCCCCGACUUAAAACCUUUUGCCAGCUCCUCAGCACCUGAACAUAGAGUCCAGUGCUCACCAAGGUCUACCUGGCCUCCCUUCUGUGACUCCAGCCUACUCUCUUGCCACUCCCCACCUGCUAAGCAAUGCCCUGGAGAUGUGUAUACAGGCUCAGAAUAUGCUGCACGCUCUCCUACCACUGGGACUUCACUGGAGAUCCUGACCGGGUGUGGCGGCUCAUGCCUGUAAUCCUAACACCUUGGGAGGCUGAGGCAGCAGGAUCGCUUGAGCCCAGGAGUUUGAGGCUGCAGUGAGUUAUGAUCAUGCCACCAUACUCCAACCUGGGCUACAGUGCAAGACCCUGUCUCAAAAAUAAACAAACAAAUAAAUAAGGAG
rnacentral:lncRNA from 10 species